rnacentral:rRNA from 1 species
UACGAAGGGGGCUAGCGUUGUUCGGAAUUACUGGGCGUAAAGCGUAUGCAGGCGGACUUUUAAGUCGGGGGUGAAAUCCCGAGGCUCAACCUCGGAACUGCCUUCGAUACUGGAUGGCUUGAAUUCGGGAGAGGGAUGCAGAAUUCCAGGUGUAGCGGUGAAAUGCGUAGAUAUCUGGAGGAAUACCGGUGGCGAAGGCGGCAUCCUGGACCGACAUUGACGCUGAGGAGCGAAAGCUAGGGGAGCAAACGGG